CAAUAAGCGGAGGAAAAGAAACUAACAAGGAUUCCCCUAGUAACUGCGAGUGAAGCGGGAUGAGCUCAAAUUUUGAAUCUGGCGGUCUCUGGCCGUCCGAGUUGUAAUCUAGAGAAGUGUUUUCCGCGCUGGACCGUGUACAAGUCUCCUGGAAGGGAGCGUCAUAGAGGGUGAUAAUCCCGUCUUUGACACGGACUACCAGGGCUAUGUGAUGCGCUCUCGACGAGUCGAGUUGUUUGGGAAUGCAGCUCAAAUUGGGUGGUAAAUUCCAUCUAAAGCUAAAUACAGGCGAGAGACCGAUAGCGAACAAGUACCGUGAGGGAAAGAUGAAAAGAACUUUGGAAAGAGAGUUAAACAGUACGUGAAAUUGCUGAAAGGGAAACGCUUGAAGUCAGUCGCGUUGGCCGGGGAUCAGCCUUGCAAUUUUUUGCUGGGUGCACUUCCUGGUUGACGGGUCAGCAUCAAUUUUGAUUGUUGGAAAAGGGUCAAGGGAAUGUGGCAUCCUUCGGGGUGUGUUAUAGCCUUUGAUCGUAUGCAACGGUUGGGAUUGAGGAACUCAGUACGACCCCUUGUGGGUUCGGGGCUUCGGCCUACGUGCGUGCUUAGGAUGCUGGCAUAAUGGCUUUAAUCGACCCGUCUUGAAACACGGACCAAGGAGUCUAACAUGCACGCGAGUGUUUGGGUGUUUAAAACCCGAGCGCGCAAUGAAAGUGAAAGUUGAGACCUCUGUCGUGGAGGGCAUCGACGCCCGGGCCUGAACUUUUGUGACGGUUCUGCGGUAGAGCGUGUACGUUGGGACCCGAAAGAUGGUGAACUAUGCCUGAAUAGGGUGAAGCCAGAGGAAACUCUGGUGGAGGCUCGUAGCGAUUCUGACGUGCAAAUCGAUCGUCGAAUUUGGGUAUAGGGGGCGAAAGACUAAUCGAACCAUCUAGUAGCUGGUUC
rnacentral:rRNA from 1 species